AGCUGAAACUGAAAGUAAAGUUGUUCUUUUGUUCAGGAUCCAUUUUGAGACGACAGAGCAGAAAAGACUAUAUGGAGAUUAUUGAAAAAUAAAGGGUCAGUGCUCUAAAAUGAGUCUCUCUGGGAAGAGAGAGGAGGGGGGCCCUGCCUCUAAAAUGAGUCUCUCUGGGGAGAGAGAGGAGGGGGGCCCUGCCUCUAAAAUGAGUCUCUCUGGGGAGAGAGAGGAGGGGGGCCCUGCCUCUAAAAUGAGUCUCUCUGGGGAGAGAGAGGAGGGGGGCCCUGCCUCUAAAAUUCAUCUCUCUGAGGGACAUGACACCAAAGAUAAGAGCCCAAUCAAGCAGGAGAGACCAGCCUCCCUGUUCCCAGCUGUGUGUCCAUGAAGAGUGACUGGUCUAUGGAUA